rnacentral:rRNA from 1 species
UCGCCGUGGCGGGCAGGCUACACAUGCAAGUCGAGCGCGAAAGCACUUCGGUGUGAGUAAAGCGGCGGACGGGUGAGUAACGCGUAGGAAUCUACCUAGUAGUGGGGGACAACUCGGGGAAACUCGAGCUAAUACCGCAUACGCCCUACGGGGGAAAGCGGGGGACCUUCGGGCCUCGUGCUAUUAGAUGAGCCUGCGUUGGAUUAGCUAGUUGGUGGGGUAAUGGCCUACCAAGGCGACGAUCCAUAGCCGGUCUGAGAGGAUGAUCAGCCACACCGGGACUGAGACACGGCCCGGACUCCUACGGGAGGCAGCAGUGGGGAAUAUUGCGCAAUGGGCGAAAGCCUGACGCAGCCAUGCCGCGUGUGUGAAGAAGGCCUUCGGGUUGUAAAGCACUUUCAAUUGGGAGGAAAGGCUCACGACUAAUACUCGUGAGCUGUGACGUUACCUUUAGAAGAAGCACCGGCUAACUCCGUGCCAGCAGCCGCGGUAAUACGGAGGGUGCGAGCGUUAAUCGGAAUUACUGGGCGUAAAGCGCGCGUAGGUGGUCUGUUAAGUCGGAUGUGAAAGCCCCGGGCUCAACCUGGGAACUGCAUCCGAUACUGGCAGACUAGAGUGCGGGAGAGGGAGGUAGAAUUCCACGUGUAGCGGUGAAAUGCGUAGAUAUGUGGAGGAAUACCAGUGGCGAAGGCGGCCUCCUGGCUCGACACUGACACUGAGGUGCGAAAGCGUGGGUAGCAAACAGGAUUAGAUACCCUGGUAGUCCACGCCGUAAACGAUGUCUACUAGCUGUAGGGGUACUUGAGACCUUUGUAGCGCAGCUAACGCACUAAGUAGACCGCCUGGGGAGUACGGCCGCAAGGUUAAAACUCAAAUGAAUUGACGGGGGCCCGCACAAGCAGUGGAGCAUGUGGUUUAAUUCGAUGCAACGCGAAGAACCUUACCAGCCUUGACAUCCUCGGAACUUCUAGAGAUAGAUUGUGCCUUCGGGAACCGAGUGACAGUGCUGCAUGGCUGUCGUCAGCUCGUGUCGUGAGAUGUGGUUAGUCCCGUACGAGCGCACCCUGUCCUAGUGCAGCACAUUAUGGUGGGAACUCUAAGGAGACUGCCGGUGACAAACCGAGA